CGACAUAGUAAAAACUAUCCUGCUCUACAAACGGGUAAAUCGGUGUAAAUGGCUUGGCCUUUGUGAAUCGAAAAUGGUUUUGUAUCUUGAACUUUCCCUGGGAAGGAGCUUCUGCGUUUGGCAUCUCUGGGCGAAAAGGACAUGUGAAACAAUCUCAAGACAGGAGCGACCGCUCGACAACAGCGAAAAGGGCGACGUAAAUAUGGAGGAAAGCAGCCUCACCGCCUACACACCCUAGUCAACACUCCACCUUCACUCUCACUCCAUCACAUUUACAUCUAUUUAUUUUGCAGACGCUUUUGUCUAAAGUGACCUCCAAUGAACUCUAUGUAGUGUCAUCAGCCCACACACCUUAUUCACCGCAGUGACUUACACUGCUAGAUACACUGCUUACACUGAGUCACUCAUCCAUACGUCAGUGGAACACACACUCUCUAUCACUCACACACACGUCAUGAACAGCAUGUCUUCGGAGUGUGGGAGGAAACCAGAGCACCGAGAGGAAACCCACACAGACACAGGGAGAACAUGCAAACUCCACACAGGCUGAGCAGGGAUCGAACCCACGUCCUCUCACACCACCCAGGUGCCGUGAGACAGCAGCGCUACUCGCCGUGCUGCUCCCGAUGGGCGGGGCUUAUCGGUCUGAAAAACGAAAGCUGCUCUGCCAAAGUUUGGUCGAUACUGAGCGCGCCGAUUGCAGCAUGAGUAUUAAUAACACAAAGAAAGGUAACGAAGAAAGACAUGAACUACUAAAGCAAUAAAGGAUUUUCCAGCACACACCGCUACUCGUUGGGCCGCUGUGGCUCUAUUAGAGCACAUUUCAUUUCUGUUUCUGCAGCCCAGGUGUGUGUUCUGUCCUCACCUGCCCGCAGGCUUUCUCGGAAGGUUCUGGACUGCGUGUCGGGCCGCCGACGGGAGCCGAACCCAAUCCGUCUGGCCCGGGGCGAGAAACUCGAGCUCCGCUGCGCUGAGCUGUGGAGGGGAAGCUGGAAACCUCCUCCACCUCCGUCCGCUUGGUGGUCCCACGCACGAAAGGCCCAAAAUAAAAAGGACAAAACUUUUGGUUCUUGUUCCGCUGUGGUGGAAUGAGCUCCCCCCAUCACUCAGAACUGCUGAAUCCCUCUCUACAUUAAAGAAGGGUCUGAAAACUCAUCACUUUCGGACUCACUUUUCCUCUGAUCUUCUAAGUGCCCGAUAAACGUACGUUUAUGUUUAAUCAUUUUUCAUAACAAUUUGUUCAAUAGUGAAAAAACCUUUAUGCAGCUACUCCUGUGAUGUACACUGGUUCAUACCGUGGUACACGACAAAUGAACUGUAUCUCUCUUCUGUUGGUGUAAUGAACUCUUUGUUUUGUUCUCUGAGAUUACGUCGCUUUGCGACGCUAUGAGAAAGCGUCUCAUAAAUGAAUAGACCACUGCAUCACCCACGAUCCACCCCGCCUGAGCGACACAGGCGCCGGAGGGAGACAGAUGCAGGCUGCCAAGGAAGGCUGAGCGCUGAACUUACACCAUACUGCACCUUCCUCCCCAGGUCCAAUUAAGCUCCACCCAGUGGGACGGGUGCCGACCUGAUGUCACAGCCGGGAUCCUCCUUGGAGCCCUCACUCGGGCCGUUGAAAAUGAUCUGGGACGCUUGUCAAGUUUCUGUCAUUUAAUCCCCUGCCAUGGAGACCGCGAGGGUUUCGCGACCCUAUGACCCAUGCCGCUCCCAGAAUACCGCGCUGCGCUGCGAUAAACGACCGUCACGCCGCGUCGAACCCCGGGGGAGAGCGUCUCGCUGUUUCCAGCAUCGCUCGACGAACAGAAGGCGUCACACACGACCGGCCUGCUCGUUCUCCGUGUCGGACGAGAUGUGAGAACAGGGCGUAGCGCUGGUGCCGUUCCAGAGUGACGUUCGCUAAAGCGCCUCCCACUGAAAUUCGGUAGCAUGAGCAUCUUAUGGGCUGCGAGCACUUCCUUCCAGGAGCCCUGCACUCACGCCUACGGUUUAACCCCAGAAACAUCCGAAGACUGAGGAAAGUAGAAGACGGGAGGCGUGUGCGUGCGCGUGUGCGCGUGUGUGUGAGACGCGCCGAGGGCACGAUUUUCACCGCAGUCAAGCCAAGCUGCAACCCCCCGUUGAGACCCUGAGUGACGGUCGGCGGCCAACGGUCAGCAGGUCGUCCUCCUGGACCGAAUCGCUCCUUUGUGCAGAAGCUC
ensembl:lncRNA